UACGUAGGGUGCGAGCGUUAAUCGGAAUUACUGGGCGUAAAGCGUGCGUAGGUGGUUCGUUGUGUCUGUGGUGAAAGCCCCGGGCUUAACCUGGGAAUGGCCAUGGAAACUGGCGAGCUGGAGUCUGGCAGAGGGGGGUGGAAUUCCGCGUGUAGCAGUGAAAUGCGUAGAGAUGUGGAGGAAUACCGAUGGCGAAGGCAGCCCCCUGGGAUAACACUGACGCUCAUGCACGAAAGCGUGGGGAGCAAACAGG
rnacentral:rRNA from 1 species